CCUACGGGCGGCAGCAGUGAGGAAUAUUGGUCAAUGGGCGAGAGCCUGAACCAGCCAAGUCGCGUGAGGGAGUACUGCCCUAUGGGUUGUAAACCUCUUUUGUCGGGGAGCAAAUGCCGGACGUGUCCGGCUGUGAGAGUACCCGAAGAAAAAGCAUCGGCUAACUCCGUGCCAGCAGCCGCGGUAAUACGGAGGAUGCGAGCGUUAUCCGGAUUUAUUGGGUUUAAAGGGUGCGCAGGCGGAUUUUUAAGUCAGCGGUAAAAUCGUGGGGCUCAACCCCAUCCAGCCGUUGAAACUGGGGAUCUAGAGUGUGCGAGAGGUAUGCGGAAUGCGUGGUGUAGCGGUGAAAUGCAUAGAUAUCACGCAGAACCCCGAUUGCGAAGGCAGCAUACCGGUGCACAACUGACGCUCAGGCACGAAAGCGUGGGUAUCGAACAGGAUUAGAUACCCGUGUAGUC
rnacentral:rRNA from 1 species